UACAGAGGGUGCAAGCGUUAAUCGGAAUUACUGGGCGUAAAGGGCGCGUAGGCGGUUAAAUAAGUGAGAUGUGAAAUCCCUGGGCUUAACCUAGGAACUGCAUCUUAUACUGUUUGACUAGAGUACUGUAGAGGGUAGUGGAAUUUCCGGUGUAGCGGUGAAAUGCGUAGAUAUUCGCAAGAACACCAGUGGCGAAGGCGGCUCACUGGCCCGAUACUGACGCUGAGGCACGAAAGCGUGGGGAGCAAACAGG
rnacentral:rRNA from 1 species